UAUGGGAUGUUUGGACAAAGGGAACUUAAUACAGUGCCUGCGUUCAUGAAACACUAGUCUUUUGGACCAAGAGCUUAAGCGCACGGAACAGCGCAAGCUACUCUUGCUGGCUGUGGCCACAUUGAACGCGGACAUUUCAGAGGACUCUGUCCUGCGUAGGAAAGGGAAAAAAGGCAGGCUCUCCUCCAGGGUGACACGGAGCGCUGAAAACCACGCACAGACCGUUUCCAGGCUGGCACAGAGCACUCUCUGUGUUUUGGAGAUUCAAGAAAAGAACAUUUCACCAUGCUCUCAAGCCAUUGCAUUCUCUUCUUCCAUGUCCUGUGAUGUGAGGGAUAAGACAAUGAUAGCCAGAUGUAUGUGGGAAAAUCUCACACAGCUUCAAAGUCAGACAGCAGCAAUGUGUUAUUACGGCUUCUCCUUUCUGCAGCCUUCUCCCUGAGUUAUGUGAUACAUCCCACAGGGCAGUUCUUGCAAUAAAAUGACAUUUUAGAACAUAGGAGCACUGUACAAGGUCACCUGCCAAGAGCAAUUAUAAUGUCUGCGCAGAUUUUGUGAAGACUGAAUGGGGUAAAACCAUUCC